GCCAAUGAUGCCACACCCAACAUUUGGAGGUGCAGAUGGCUCCAGGAUCCUGUUUACAGGAUGAACCUACCUGGAGGCGCUGUAUCCAUAUGACAUUCAUGGGUAAGUCUGAGGU
rfam:Triticum urartu cultivar G1812 contig315090, whole genome shotgun sequence.